rnacentral:rRNA from 1 species
AUUGAACGCUGGCGGCAGGCUUAACACAUGCAAGUCGAGCGGAGAUGAGGUGCUUGCACCUUAUCUUAGCGGCGGACGGGUGAGUAAUGCUUAGGAAUCUGCCUAUUAGUGGGGGACAACAUUCCGAAAGGAAUGCUAAUACCGCAUACGUCCUACGGGAGAAAGCAGGGGAUCUUCGGACCUUGCGCUAAUAGAUGAGCCUAAGUCGGAUUAGCUAGUGGGUGGGGUAAAGGCCUACCAAGGCGACGAUCUGUAGCGGGUCUGAGAGGAUGAUCCGACACACUGGGACUGAGACACGGCCCAGACUCCUACGGGAGGCAGCAGUGGGGAAUAUUGGACAAUGGGGGGAACCCUGAUCCAGCCAUGCCGCGUGUGUGAAGAAGGCCUUAUGGUUGUAAAGCACUUUAAGCGAGGAGGAGGCUACUGAGACUAAUACUCUUGGAUAGUGGACGUUACUCGCAGAAUAAGCACCGGCUAACUCUGUGCCAGCCGCCGCUGUAA